GGGUUUACUCUCUGCGGUACGUCACUUUCCCUUCUUCGGUGCUGGAGGGGUUUACAACCCGAAGGCCGUCAUCCCUCACGCGGCGUCGCUGCAUCAGGCUUUCGCCCAUUGUGCAAUAUUCCCCACUGCUGCCUCCCGUAGGAGUCCCCCCGUGCCCCCGCCCCGCCCGCCGCGCGCGGCGGGCGGGGCGG
rnacentral:rRNA from 1 species